UACAGAGGGUGCAAGCGUUGUUCGGAAUUAUUGGGCGUAAAGGGCGCGUAGGCGGUGCCACAAGUCACCUGUGAAAUCUCCGGGCUUAACUCGGAGCCUGCAGGCGAAACUGUGGUGCUGGAGUGUGGGAGAGGUGCGUGGAAUUCCCGGUGGAGCGGUGAAAUGCGUAGAUAUCGUUUGGAACGCCGAUGGUGAAAACAGGUUGCUGGGGCUGCGCUGACGCUGAGACACGAAAGCCAGGGGAGCGAACGGG
rnacentral:rRNA from 1 species